rnacentral:rRNA from 1 species
GACGAACGCUGGCGGCGUGCCUAAUACAUGCAAGUCGAGCGGACUGAAUGGGAGCUUGCUCUUGUUCGGUCAGCGGCGGACGGGUGAGUAACACGUGGGCAACCUGCCCGCAAGACCGGGAUAACUCCGGGAAACCGGAGCUAAUACCGGAUAACACCGAAGACCGCAUGGUCUUUGGUUGAAAGGCGGCGCAAGCUGCCACUUGCGGAUGGGCCCGCGGCGCAUUAGCUAGUUGGUGAGGUAACGGCUCACCAAGGCGACGAUGCGUAGUCGGCCUGAGAGGGUGACCGGCCACACUGGGACUGAGACACGGCCCAGACUCCUACGGGAGGCAGCAGUAGGGAAUCUUCCGCAAUGGGCGAAAGCCUGACGGAGCGACGCCGCGUGAGCGAAGAAGGCCUUCGGGUCGUAAAGCUCUGUUGUGAGGGACGAAGGAGCGCCGUUUGAAGAAGGCGGCGCGGUGACGGUACCUCACGAGGAAGCCCCGGCUAACUACGUG